rnacentral:rRNA from 1 species
AGCGAACGUUAGCGGCGGGCCUAACACAUGCAAGUCGAACGCGAAAGGUCUUCGGACUGAGUAGAGUGGCGCACGGGUGAGUAACACGUAGGUAAUCUACCCUUUGGCGGGGGAUAACGUUCCGAAAGGAGCGCUAAUACCGCAUAACACCACGGAGUCUCCGGACGCUGUGGGAAAAGGUGGCCUCUUCUUGAAAGCUACCACCGAAGGAUGAGCCUGCGUCCCAUCAGCUAGUUGGUAAGGUAAUGGCUUACCAAGGCGAAGACGGGUAGCUGGUUUGAGAGAAUGAUCAGCCACACUGGCACUGGAACACGGGCCAGACUCCUACGGGAGGCAGCAGUGAGGAAUAUUGGGCAAUGGGCGAAAGCCUGACCCAGCCACGCCGCGUGAGUGAUGAAGGCCCUCGGGUCGUAAAGCUCUGUGGAGAGGGACGAAAACCCUGGUUUCAAAUAGGCUCCAGGCUUGACGGUACCUCUUUAGCAAGCACCGGCUAACUCUGUGCCAG